GUCACCAGCAGCCUCUCCUCCAGGUUGCUCUUCCUGAGCACUCUCAGAAAGUGAAGACGCUGCUGGGCCUUUUUUACCACCACAGUGGUAUUUGCAGUCCAGGAGAGAUCAUCAGAGAUCUGCACGCCCAGAAACCUCAUGGAGUGUACCCUCUCCACACGGUUCCCGUGAAUGUAAAGUGUGGCCGGGUCUGCUCUGCCCUUCCUGAAGUCCAAGAUGAGUUCUUUAGUUUUCGUGGUGUUCAGUUGGAGGUUGUUAACUGAACACCACUCAGUCAGUCUGUUGACCUCAUCUCUGUAGUCCGACUCAUCCCCCCUUGAGAUGAGUCCAACCACAGUGGUGUCGUCCGCAAACUUUAUGAUGGUGUUUGAGAGAUGGGUAGGGGAGCAGUCGGAUGUGUAGAGCGUAAACAGGAGGGGACUCAGAACACAUCCUUGUGGAGACCCAGUGCUGAGUGUGAUGGUGCUGGACAGGUGGGGGCCGAGUCUGACAGACUGUGGUCUGUUUGUCAGGAAGUCCUUGAUCCAGAGGCAGAUGGGGGUGGAGAGUCCCAGGUGAGACAGUUUCUGGACCAGGAUCUCCGGGAUGAUAUGAUUAAAUGCAGAGCUGAAGUCCAGGAAGAGCAUUCUCACAUAGCUUCCUCUGUGCUCCAGGUGACUCAGCGCAGUGUGGAGCGCUAUGGUGAUAGCGUCCUCGGUGGAUCGAUUAGUCCUGUAGGCAAAUUGGUGGGGGUCCAAAGUGGGAGGCAGACUGGCCCUGAUGUGCUGACAGACCAGUCUCUCAAAGCACUUCAUCACUACAGGCGUCAGGGUUUUUUUUGUAUGCUGAAUUGUUCCUGAGGUGGAUUCCUCCGGUGAAAUAGAUGGCGAGCCUUCCCACCUGGACUUAGAGAGACUGAGAUUCGCUUCUUUUCCACUAAAUGAUCUGCUGCACCUUGCGGUGUGGUAGGACUGUAUCACUCACACUUUCACACACAGCUGGUUAUACAUAAGACCACUGACUGACAUUCUCUCACCCCUAUUUUCUUUCACACCCUGGGAAUUUUUUGGACUAUACCCCUUGGACAUUUUUUAUUUGGGACUUUAAAUAAUAAGCUGUUGUGUAGAACAUUCUCCACAUGUGAAAAGAGUGUGAGAUUUUCAUUUGAAUGUACAUUGGAUUUGUGUAAUCUGUUUCUAUAAGAGUUAAGGAGUCAGAUUACUAGGGUGCACCCGAGCAUUGAAACCCGAGCUUUGAAACCCAACAUUGAAAACCAAAAGUAACACUUGGCCAAGUCAUUAUUUUAGCAGUUUAUGUGUUUUACUUUUCUUUCAUUUUUGUAAGUUUCCUUUCUGCAAUUGUAAAGUGCCUUUAACCUGUGCUUGACAACCUUAUAGUUUAUUUCACUAAAGUCGGCUGGUUCUUUUGAGUUACAUUCAUGUCUCUGUGUCUCAUUUAAACACACCCCUGUGCUCCUAUAGUCGAACCUAUUGGCCCAUUUAUAUAUUCUUUUCAACAAUUCCCC
ensembl:lncRNA